rnacentral:rRNA from 1 species
UGGGGAAUCUUCCGCAAUGGACGAAAGUCUGACGGAGCAACGCCGCGUGAGUGAUGACGGCCUUCGGGUUGUAAACCUCUGUUAAUCGGGACGAAACGCCUUCUUGCGAAUAUGUAGAAGGAUUGACGGUCCCGGAAUAGCCAGCCACCGCGAACUACCUGCCAGCGCCCGCGGUAAUACGUAUGUGGCAAGCGUUGUCCGGAACUAUUGGUUUGACAGCGCGCCCGUGCGGAUUGGUCAGUCUGUCUUAAAAUUUCGGGGCUUAACCCCGUGAUGGGAUGGAAACUGCCAAACUGGAAUACCGGAUAGGAAAGUGAAAUUCCUAGAGUACCGGUGAAAUGCCUAUAUCUUAGGAAGAACUCUGGUGGCGAACGGAACUUUCNGGACGAAAACUGACGCUGAGGCGCGGAAGCCAUGCGAGCGAANGCCAUUACAUACCCCGGUAGUCCUGGNCGUGAACUACGNNCACUAGGUGUAGGANGUAUCGACCCCUUCUGUGCCCGANUUCAGGCGAUAAGUACCCCGCCGGGNGAGUACGACUGCAUUGAUG